CCGCCCAUAUGUGACGCGCUCAGCGAUUUUUGGCCCAAUUGAGUUUUUAAUCAUUGUGAGAAAAACGCUUGUAAAGUCACGCGAGUUUUCAUGUCUUAAUUUUUAGGGUUUCCCUUCAAAACAGAGUAUCUUUGAGAGUUGAAAGAAUAAAAUAAACUAGAAAGAACUCAAAAAAUACUUUUUGAACAGCCCUUCUCAGCUUCCACGAUAAACAUUUCCCAAAAAUCUAUAUUUAGAAUAAAUACACUGUGUAAACUUAGGAGUCAAGUCGGCGAGUAAACGCAUGUAGAUUCACUACUGUACCUUUUACGUCAUGUUACUGCAUAUUUGGAGGUUUAAAUAAAUAUAAAGGUCUGACAGCCAAUUGAACAUACAUUUAAGAUCUUCAACAUAGUUCAUCAAAGUUUUGAAGUAGAUAAUAUGAUUAUCCAGCAUGUUGGAGCCAUAGUCUUCAAGGAAAUGUACUUAAGACAUAGAUAGUUCACCUAUUUGCUGAUGAAUACACUAAUCUAUUGUUGGAAUGGAGGCACAAUGUGUGACAUAGCUCUAUGCCCUAUUGAGCACCAGGGUUAUGGAGUAAAAAAGACAAUCACUUGUAUCAACGGUACUGUAUUGGUCAAGAUAAAAAACACUUCAAUUGGGAUGGCAUGUGAGAAGUCAAUGACUUGUCUAUGUUUGACAGUAUACCAAAAGUGAAUUACAUUCUCAUAGAAUUUGUCUUUAGAAGUAUCCCUGAAAAAGCUGAAUACUACAGUGGCAGGUGUUACAGUAUUUUUACUUAAUUGUGAAACAAGUUUUAUAUAUGAAUCACUUUAUGCUUACAAAAACUGAAGACAUAUGAGGAGACAUAGUUGCUAUUACCCUGUUUGGGUCAAACCCACAACAUGGGGUUGCAAGACUAUAAUUCAAGGACAUAAGUGAACUCUCAUAUGUGACUUCCCAUGUGAUUGCUAGAAUCUGUUAUUGUAAUUGUUUUAAAUUAAUUGAAAUUAUUUCAAUUUAAAAAUAUACUAAUAUGUUAUUCAUAUCAUACAAUUUAAAACACACUGAUCAGAAUAUGAUUACACUGUCAAUAUCUGUAACUGAAAAUUUAGUCAGGAACAUAACUAGUGCAAGCCCUUUCUAUUUAUUUUUUUGGUUAAAAUUCUGAGACUUUUGAAGUUAUUGUGAAAAGGAAUAUUUUUUUAUAAAAUGCAAUUAUUUUAAAUCAUUCAGUUAUUUUUGCAUUUUUUGGUACCAUGGCAACCAAAAUACACCGUUUUUGCAAUCAGUGCAUUGAAGAAUAUUUGUUUUGCAUUGGAUUCAUAUUGUAUAUGCUAUCAUGUUAUAGAUGUGCAUUUUAAAGUUGACUAACUUAAGUUAUGAUAUUAACCUUAAUCAUGGAAAAGUUACUGUAAUUCUGAGAAUUUAAUUCUUAUGUUUGAAGUUAAUAUCAAUAACUAUUAAAGGGUAAAAUGAAAAAUCUUUUUUAUUUUCUGAAAAGUCUUUAAUAAUGUUGUCUUUUAAUAUAAUAUAUGCAUUAAUUUGGUGAUGAAUUAAUCAUAUUAAGUGCAAAAAUAUUGCAUUUGAUGAUUUUUUUAUAUUUUUGUUGCCAUGGCAACCGAUUUUUUUGAAAACAAACGAUUGUUUUUAUAUCAAGAUAUUACAUAUAUUACACUAAGAUGAAUGAUCACUUAAUUUUUUAUUUUAUUUUAUUGUGUAUAACAAUGGAAUUAUUUAUAAUUUGCAUAUACCAAUAAAAGUAAAAAAUGUAAUUUUUGUUGUUAUGGUGAUGUUAUACAAAUUCGAAUAUUUCAUAAAAUAUCAAGUAUUUUUUAAAAAUAAUUGUUUCCAGCUAUUCAGCAGAUGUUGUUCUACCACAAACUAGUCAUAACUCAUUUUCGCCCAAAUAUCACAUUUGGGCCAAAAAUCG